rnacentral:rRNA from 2 species
UUAAAUUGAAGAGUUUGAUCAUGGCUCAGAUUGAACGCUGGCGGCAGGCCUAACACAUGCAAGUCGAACGGUAACAGGAAGCAGCUUGCUGCUUCGCUGACGAGUGGCGGACGGGUGAGUAAUGUCUGGGAAACUGCCUGAUGGAGGGGGAUAACUACUGGAAACGGUGGCUAAUACCGCAUAACGUCGCAAGACCAAAGAGGGGGACCUUCGGGCCUCUUGCCAUCAGAUGUGCCCAGAUGGGAUUAGCUAGUUGGUGAGGUAACGGCUCACCAAGGCGACGAUCCCUAGCUGGUCUGAGAGGAUGACCAGCCACACUGGAACUGAGACACGGUCCAGACUCCUACGGGAGGCAGCAGUGGGGAAUAUUGCACAAUGGGCGCAAGCCUGAUGCAGCCAUGCCGCGUGUAUGAAGAAGGCCUUCGGGUUGUAAAGUACUUUCAGCGGGGAGGAAGGUGUUGUGGUUAAUAACCGCAGCAAUUGACGUUACCCGCAGAAGAAGCACCGGCUAACUCCGUGCCAGCAGCCGCGGUAAUACGGAGGGUGCAAGCGUUAAUCGGAAUUACUGGGCGUAAAGCGCACGCAGGCGGUCUGUCAAGUCGGAUGUGAAAUCCCCGGGCUCAACCUGGGAACUGCAUUCGAAACUGGCAGGCUUGAGUCUUGUAGAGGGGGGUAGAAUUCCAGGUGUAGCGGUGAAAUGCGUAGAGAUCUGGAGGAAUACCGGUGGCGAAGGCGGCCCCCUGGACAAAGACUGACGCUCAGGUGCGAAAGCGUGGGGAGCAAACAGGAUUAGAUACCCUGGUAGUCCACGCCGUAAACGAUGUCUACUUGGAGGUUGUGCCCUUGAGGCGUGGCUUCCGGAGCUAACGCGUUAAGUAGACCGCCUGGGGAGUACGGCCGCAAGGUUAAAACUCAAAUGAAUUGACGGGGGCCCGCACAAGCGGUGGAGCAUGUGGUUUAAUUCGAUGCAACGCGAAGAACCUUACCUGGUCUUGACAUCCACAGAACUUUCCAGAGAUGGACUGGUGCCUUCGGGAACUGUGAGACAGGUGCUGCAUGGCUGUCGUCAGCUCGUGUUGUGAAAUGUUGGGUUAAGUCCCGCAACGAGCGCAACCCUUAUCCUUUGUUGCCAGCGGUCCGGCCGGGAACUCAAAGGAGACUGCCAGUGAUAAACUGGAGGAAGGUGGGGAUGACGUCAAGUCAUCAUGGCCCUUACGACCAGGGCUACACACGUGCUACAAUGGCGCAUACAAAGAGAAGCGACCUCGCGAGAGCAAGCGGACCUCAUAAAGUGCGUCGUAGUCCGGAUUGGAGUCUGCAACUCGACUCCAUGAAGUCGGAAUCGCUAGUAAUCGUGGAUCAGAAUGCCACGGUGAAUACGUUCCCGGGCCUUGUACACACCGCCCGUCACACCAUGGGAGUGGGUUGCAAAAGAAGUAGGUAGCUUAACCUUCGGGAGGGCGCUUACCACUUUGUGAUUCAUGACUGGGGUGAAGUCGUAACAAGGUAACCGUAGGGGAACCUGCGGUUGGAUCACCUCCUUACCUUAAAGAAGC